UACGGGGGGAGCAAGCGUUGUUCGGAUUUACUAGGCGUAAAGGGCGCGUAGGCGGCCACCGCAAGUCGACUGUGAAAUCUCCGGGCUUAACUCGGAAAGGUCAGCCGAUACUGCGGGGCUAGAGUGCAGAAGGGGCAACUGGAAUUCUCGGUGUAGCGGUGAAAUGCGUAGAUAUCGAGAGGAACACCUGCGGCGAAGGCGGGUUGCUGGGCUGACACUGACGCUGAUUGUGCGAAAGCUAGGGGAGCGAACGGG
rnacentral:rRNA from 1 species